rnacentral:lncRNA from 1 species
GCCUUGAAAUAUCGACACGUCGCAGCCCCACAUAAGCUCAACAGAGAGGCCAGCCCGCCGGUCUAAUUCCUAAGCACAAAGGGGUCGUCGGUCCACUUGCCCUCUGCGCUCCUGCACGAUGCAAGGGCGGCCGAUGACAGUCCUAGCACCCCUUAAUCACAAGCGCGAUGCAUCUCGGGACCACUCGGGCGCACGCCGCUCCAUUGCUGACAUCUGAAGAGCUUCGGCUGAUACCACGACGUCGAGUACCCAUAAUUCUUCCCACGUAGACGGUUAGUGCGUAAU